GUUUGUGUGGUGUAGUGGUUUGAGCAUUGGACUAGGACCCUGGAGACCAGGGUUCAAAACCUGGCUCAGCCA